UGGGGCAUGCUUUAUGCAUGUUCUUAGUUAGAAUUAGCUAAGAUUCCAGGUUUAUUUGCAGAAAGUUCAUAUUUAACUUUCAAACAAAUGUUUUGGUUAAAGGAGAAAAGAAAGUUGGGGGUGAGUUGGGGUAGUAUCACAAAAGGUAGGAGGAGGAGGAGACCAAUGAAGGGAUGGAAUGCAUAUCUGUCAAGUCUGUCUUGCUCCAGGGACCAUUGGACCCAGAAGAAAACCUACAGUCCAAGGCUUCAUCUUCAUGAGAGACAUUAGGACGUGUACUUAAGCAGAGCUGCAUGGAAUUCAUCUGAGAAAUGGUGCCAAAGUAAGAGGCAGGCUUCUCUGGUGUCUCAGCCAUUAAGAAUCCUCCUGCAACAUAGGAGAUGCAGGUUCGAUCCCGCAGUCAGGCAGAUCCCUUGGAGGAGGGCACCGGCAACCCACUCCAGUAUUCUUGCCUGGAGAACCCCAUGGACAGAGGAGCCUGGUGGGCUAGAGUCCAUCGGGUCACAAAGAGCCAGACGCAACAGAAGGACUGAGCAGGCACACACAAGUAAGGGGCAGGGCCAUUUUUCUUGCCCCUCCUCCCUUUCUUAACCAUAUCAUCCAGUACAUAUUUGAUUCCCAAGGUCUCAAGCAGCAAGAGAAUGGAUGACAGUGAAAAGAAUACUGGGGCACAAGCAGGCAAGGAAGAGUCCAGAACAAAAUGGUGAGCAGAUUUCUUGUUUUAUUGUUUCAUUUGAGGCUGCAGAUGCAAGAUUAUCUGGGGAGUGAGUUAGAGUCUGUGGUUUGGGGAUUCCAGGGCAGACAUCCCAACUGGUGUCAGAGGUCAGCAGACAGAUUCUUGGGAGCAGACUCAGGUUUCUGAAUCCUGGGACAGAGAGUCACUCCAGCCCAGAGUUCAGAACCUCACCUGGGACCUCUCAGGCAAUCUCACGAGGAGGAGGAGGAAGUGUUUGUCCAUCUGUUGUCCCCAGGCCAGCUCUUCUUGGCUCAGGGUCCACUUCAGCAGCAGCCGCCUCCAGAGGACUGACUGCUUCCCCCUCCGCAGCACCCGGAGUCCCCCGAGGGCUGGGGGCAGCAGUCAGAGCUCUGGGGUCUGCAGUGGUGGGACCUGCGGCGCCUGUGGUGGCUCGGGCAGCAGCCCCCAGACCCAGAGCUGCAGCAGCCCCCGGAGCUGGGGCCACAGCAGCCCCCGGAGCUGGGGCCACAGCAGGAGGAGACUGGGGGGCACUUUGGGGGGCAUUUAGGGGUGGGGCACUUGGGGGCACACUUGGGAGGGGGCUGGCACUGCUGUUGGUUCUGCUGGCAGGACAUCUUGGUGAUGGGCGGGUUCAGGAGCUGAGGGAGAGACAGACAGCAGGUCAGACCAGCACACAGAGACCUCCCUGCCCCUUCCUGAACUUUCAGAAUCUUUCUAGCGCCUUUAUCUUGAAAGCUUUCAGAUCAGACAUAAGAAAAUCAUCUCUUUCGUGCUCAUUAACAUUUCCUAAGUGUCAGAAAAAAGACCAGGAAAUAAACUGGCUCCAGGUCAGCAUUCUCUCUACCACAUCACCAGGAUCCUUGAAAAUGUCCAAUGUAGGGGCCAUUUUAGAGCUGAAAGCCUCAUUAAGGAAAAAGCAAAAUCUUCCUCUCCCUGAAGAAUUUCUGAUAUGUUUUCAUUUUGCAGAACAUAGAAAAUUGAAACUGCAAAGGGCCUUGGAAUCAAUGUGUCCCAAUCAGCUCAUUUCAGAAGAAACUGAAACAAACAGAGGCAAAUUCACUGGCUCGGGGCUAUUCACAAACACAUCACAGUUUCAUCCCCAGGUUCCCUGACUCCCAACCCAAAGACUGUCUUAUAUCCUGCUCCCCAGGCCUGUCACUGGGCUGCUCAGCCUCACUAUGGAUCUUCUUGUUGGAAUCCAAACAGAUCCACAAGUGUCUCUGAUUUUCUCCACUAAGUAGCAGCAUCCUCAGUCCAUUAUUUCUACAACUGGGUAGGGAUAUGUUUCCAUAAUGAUGUUUCCAUUAUACACCCCCACUCCAGCAUAAUCUAGAGGUCAGUAUUUUUAUUCCCUAAAAGCAGAAAAACACACCCAGCAACUGAAAACCAUUUGGUUUCUCUAAAGCUCCAGCACCAGCCACAAAAAUCUUCCCAGUAGCUCUUGGUCUCUCUCACUCAUCUUAUCCUUCCCUCCUUCAGAUUCCUGAGCUUUUGUCCUUGCUGGCCACAACUCCAGCCCCUGUUUCUGCCCUGCCCUCCCUCUGGUCUGAGCAUCCUCUGUGGAAGGCCCUGCUCCCACUCCCAGUGGACACUCACCGGUGCACACACAGCACAGAGUCGUCAGCACCUCAGGAGAGGAGUGGAUGGAGGUGCUCUGGCCCCAAGGCCCUUUUAUCCUGGCCUUGGGCUCUGCCCUCAGGUGUGAGCCAGGGCCUGGGCAUGAGAG
ensembl:lncRNA